rnacentral:tRNA from 1 species
AUAGUUUAGUGGUAAAACGAAAGCUUCCCAAGCUUUAGUUGAGGGUUCUUAUUGGACACCCGUCU